GUGGGGAAUAUUGGACAAUGGGCGAAAGCCUGAUCCAGCCAUGCCGCGUGUGUGAAGAAGGUCUUCGGAUUGUAAAGCACUUUAAGUUGGGAGGAAGGGCAGUAAGUUAAUACCUUGCUGUUUUGACGUUACCGACAGAAUAAGCACCGGCUAACUUCGUGCCAGCAGCCGCGGUAAUACGAAGGGUGCAAGCGUUAAUCGGAAUUACUGGGCGUAAAGCGCGCGUAGGUGGUUUUGUAAGUUGGAGGUGAAAUCCCCGGGCUCAACCUGGGAACUGCCUCCAAAACUGCAUGACUAGAGUACGGUAGAGGGUAGUGGAAUUUCCUGUGUAGCGGAGAAAUGCGUAGAUAUAGGAAGGAACACCAGUGGCGAAGGCGACUACCUGGACUGAUACUGACACUGAGGUGCGAAAGCGUGGGGAGCAAACAGGAUUAGAUACCCUAGUAGUCC
rnacentral:rRNA from 1 species